rnacentral:misc_RNA from 1 species
CAUCUUUAAUUUCUUGAUCUUUAUGCCAAAUUUUUUGAUAAAAUUCCUUGUUCUUUUAAUGUUUAAUUUUUUUUUUCUUCAUGGUUAUGACUUGGUAUUUAUAUUAUAUAGAAUUCAGAUACUAUGUUAGAAGACAAAUUAAAUUUACUCCUUAGACCAUGAAGAAUUUGGGCACUAAUUAAUUAACCAUCCUCAUAAAAAACAAAGAUAUUAUUUGGCAUGCAGACACAAGUUCGAUGACAAGUGGGUUCCGGAGAUUAAUAUGCAUGACUGACCUGAAAUGGAGCUUUUUCACCGAUUUGAA